rnacentral:rRNA from 1 species
GAUGAACGCUGGCGGCGUGCCUAAUACAUGCAAGUCGAGCGAAUGGAUUAAGAGCUUGCUCUUAUGAAGUUAGCGGCGGACGGGUGAGUAACACGUGGGUAACCUGCCCAUAAGACUGGGAUAACUCCGGGAAACCGGGGCUAAUACCGGAUAACAUUUUGAACCGCAUGGUUCGAAAUUGAAAGGCGGCUUCGGCUGUCACUUAUGGAUGGACCCGCGUCGCAUUAGCUAGUUGGUGAGGUAACGGCUCACCAAGGCAACGAUGCGUAGCCGACCUGGGAGGGUGAUCGGCCACACUGUGACGUGGACACGGCCCAGACUCCUCCGGGAGGCAGCGGUAGGGAAUCUUCCGCAAUGGACGAAAGUCUGACGGAGCAACGCCGCGUGAGUGAUGAAGGCUUUCGGGUCGUAAAACUCUGUUGUUAGGGAAGAACAAGUGCUAGUUGAAUAAGCUGGCACCUUGACGGUACCUAACCAGAAAGCCACGGCUAACUACGUGCCAGCCGCCGCGGUAA